GGUUGUGUGGCUCAGUAGUAGAGCACUUGCCUCACAUGCAUGAGGCACUGGGUUCGAUUCUCAGCACUACAU
rnacentral:tRNA from 1 species